CUGUCCCAUAACCAUUGUUGAGCCACAUUAGCGACUGGCCGGGAGCACGUGCCAUCAACAAAACCAAUUUUGUUUUUAGCAGAUAACGCAACAAUCAUUUUUCUCCUCCAACCCCCAUAACCACUGCCCGAGAAGGGAGUUGGGACAAGAGAGACCCCAGGAACAUCAGAGGAGUAGACAAAAAGGGGGCUGGUAGAGUCUACCGAGGAGGUACCAGCAUUCGUAUUAGAAGCCAUGAUUAAUGAACCAGCUUGAAAGGAAAACAGUUUCGGCAAGCAAAAUAUAACGGAACCAGAUACUCACAUACAAAGCAUACAAUACUCAAAAUAAGGACAGAGUUACCCUCCUUCUUCGCGACCGGAGAAGAUCGGCCUUCAAUCAAAAGAGAAAACCCUAGGUCCGACGCCGGAAACCGUAGGUUCUGAAACUCAUUGGAAUAAGGUCACAGACGCCGGAAAGUUACCCAAAACGUCCAUCAAGAGAAGAGAAAGUCAUCGGAUAACACAAAAACUCUAGGUCCGAAAGUCGGAAAAACCCUAGAAUUUGAAGAACUCGUCGGAAUAAAACCAGGGAAGCCGGAAAAUUACCCAAAACACCCACUGAUAGAAGAUCGGAACCUUGAAUAACAGGAAAGCUCCGAUUAUCCGCUCAACAUUCGUUGAAACAUCUCAAAACAGUAUCUCUCACCGAUAACCAUAAGAAAAACUUCAGCAAAAGCUUCGAACAUGAUCGAUAACACGCAACCGAGAAGGAUCCGAAUAUGAUCCGGCUCUGAUACCACAAAAACAU
rnacentral:lncRNA from 1 species